CCACCGCCGCCGCAGUCCCCUCCUCCCUCUCAUCCCACCCGCGCUCUCCCUCUCCCUCUCACGCCGCCGCCGCCGCCGCCGCCGCCGUCUUCGCCUCCCCCACACGCCACCGUCUUCGCCUCCCUCUCGCGCCGCCGCCGUCGCCGUCGCCGCAUCCCCCUCGCGCCGCCGCCAUCGUGUCCCUGUCGCCUCCGCCUUCCCUCUAGCCGCCGUCUCCACCUCCUCCGCCGCCACCGUCACGUUGAGAUCUCCGAGCUCCUCCGCCUCCCACUCGCGUCGUUGCGGUCGCCAAGCGGUGGUGAAGGCGGGGCCCUACCCACCCCAAAACCAUAGCUACCGCCGCCGCCCACGCCCUCUCCUUCCUCUCCUCUCUCUAACCCUCUCGCUCUCUCUCUCUCUCUCUCUCCCUCUCCUGCCGUCGCCAUCGCCGUUGCCACCGCUGAGCGCUGCCUCCGCCUCCACCUCGCGCCGCCACAUCCGCCUCGCGCCGUCGCCAUCGUCGUCCCCGUCGCCGCGCGCCUCCACCUCUGCCGCAGUCGCCGCCGUUGUUGAAGCCGAUGACAGCUCCACGGUGCCCCUUCUCUCUCCUCUCAGCGGUGGCGGCCAAGGAGGCUAGGGACGCGGCGGCGGAUCGAGGAGACCGAGGCGGUGGUUGAGCCACCAAGCGAGGGGGGAGAGGUGCGUGGUGGUGGCGGUGGAGGAGACGUGCUACGCGUGGGCCGCCGAACCCGAUGAUGGCGAGGUACGUGUACGCCUUCGUGUUCUUGGCGACCAACCUGCUCACCUGGAUGCUCCACGACUUCGGCCACCCCGUACUCGCCGAGCUCCGGCGACUCCGCGGCAGCUGCCGGGGCGCCAGCUACUGCCUCGGCGCGAGGGCGUCCUCCGCCUCAGCCUUGGCUGCUUCCUCUUCUUCUACGUGAUGUUCUUGUCGACGGUGAGGACGAGGAAGACGCACGAUCGCCGGAAUUCAUGGCACUCCGAGUGGUGGCCGGCGAAGAUCGUGCUGUGGAUGGGCUUCACCGUCGUCCCCUUCUUCCUCCCCCCGCCUCUCAUCCAGCUCUACGGGAAGGUCGCGCAUUUCGGAGCAGGUUCACCCCUGCAAUUGAUAUUUGGAGCAUAGGAUGUAUAUUUGCAGAGCUGCUUACAGGAAAGCCACUCUUUCCAGGGAAAAAUGUUGUGCAUCAAUUGGAUCUCAUGACUGAUCUACUUGGCACUCCAGCAGAAUCCCUUGCUAAGAUACGGAAUGAGAAAGCUCGAUGAUGCCUGAGCAACAUGAGGAAAAAGCCUCGGGUUCCUUUUACUAAAAAGUUUCCAGUGGUUUGGAGAUGCUGAGAAGUUGACAAAGGCCCUUUUCUCCUUUGCUAGCCGAUUAGCUCCCGUUAUCAUAUUUGUGGAUGAGGUUGCAUGAUGGUAAUCGGAACAAGCUGAAGCUUAAGGAUGAGUUUGUACUGCUGGGCUGCUGGCAGCUCAGGUAGAAGAGGCCUUCAAAUAAUUAAAAGUUUCAGAGAUUACUAACCUUAGUUCUCAGGUUAGUUUAUUCAGACCACUUCCGAUCCUUUUGGCAUGCGAUUAUUUUGUGACUCAUUUCAGAUAGAUUGUCUUCAAUUCAUCCAUUGUGAAUAUUUGAAUUGCUUCCUUGCACUAAAUGUAUGCAGGCAUCAAGGUUAGUAGUCUGGCUAAUAUUGCUCGAUUGUUAAUUAAUCGUGACGACCUUAUAAAAUCUUGACUUUUGUUUCAGAAUAUGGAUAGAACAUCAUGCUACAACUUUACCUGCUAUUUGGAAACAUAGAGACUUUGGAUGUUUCUUCUUAUUUUAACAAGAAAGACAUCAACUUUUUUUUUUUGCUGAAAUUUUUCAUUCAGAUCUAAACCUCAACAUUUUCUAUACCACAACAUAUUGAUACUGGGACAGAUGGCCUUGAAUGUUUUUCAUGACCCAGCAGUUACAUAGGUUAUGUUGAUUAUCCUCAUAUAUGUCUUUUGACUUGUCGGUGUCUUUAUUUGAUUUAUUAUUAUCAACAUGCAUAAACUGUCCGGAAUAUGAAUUUCUCUGCUUUACAAAAGCUAACAAUAUUAUGUGGUUUUAUGUCCUUAAAACUCAACUGUUUAUUUCUAAGUGUAAUUAAUUAAUUAAUUAGUAUGCACUCAUCACUUCAUGGUUCUUUUCAUAAGUACGGUUGGACAAAUAAGUUCUAUACAUAUGGAUGUAAUUAAUUGGCAUUUGGUUUCUUCAUACCACCAAACCUGCGAUCUAUUUGUUCUGUGUCAUAUAGAUGUCUAGCGGUAGCUUUAACAUAUCUUAAAAUUUCAUACUAAUGGUUCUCCAAUUCCCCAUGUCAUGCAUAAAAGGGUUGCCAUGCUAAUACCAAAUACAAGUCAGUAUAAAUACCAAAUACAAGUUAGUAUAAAUACCAAAUAUGCCGUGAUGACAUUUUUUUAACAUGUCUUGAGUUUCUCUGGUUUAGACCAUAGACUAAUUUGGUGUUUGUUGUAAAGAAAGGUUGAACAUGGAGUAGGCCCAGGUUAUGUCAACUGUCAUCUUAAAAUACUAGAGGAUAUGAUUUGGUAAAGCUGUAGAGGUUAGUUUAAUCAUAAAAAAGUAUCAUUUUACUUUAGCCAUAAUUUGGGAUGUAAAAUGAGCGAAAAAACUCAGUGCUCUGCUGAAAUAGUUUGUGAGAGUAAAGUGGACUUUUUUUUUUUUGUUAAAACAUCGUGAACAACGAGAUGCUUUAUAGGUCUUUCUACCAAGUACUGGGAAGAGACAUUUAGUUCACUUGUUUAGGGCAGCACAUAAACUUAUCCCUCAUAUGUUCUCUUUUAUGAAUGAUUAGAAUGUUGAAGAUGUACACGGCUAGAAAUCUACAGCAGAUAAACACAUUUGAGCAGAUGUACGCCAUUUGAUGACUUCUUUUUUAUGAAAUGCCAGUUCGUGAUAUUGCCUUACAACUUGUUGCAGGGUUAUGCCAUCCAUCUAAUGGGAGGUAUUACCAGCGAUUUGUGGACAAGCUCUCCAUUCUGGAUCUCCCUAUUUGGUUAGUUGGAUCACACCGUAGAGAACGCAAUGAGGCGUCGAAUUCGAUCAACUCUUGUAGUCUUUCUUGUAUGAAUUUUUCCCUAUUUACCCUGCAUGGUACUGUGCUAGGAGGCGUCGAAUUCGAUCAAAAAACUUACCUGUGAGGCGAUUGGCGUUGGCAGCGCUGCAUCUUCUACCAGUAAUCAAAAGAGUAGAUCCUCACAGAAGAACUGAAAAGUAAAGUGACGUACCAGUGUUUUGCGUUGAUAAUCAAGGAGCUUAAAUGACCUAGCCUGACAUGUGGUUGUUCUUUUGAUUUGUAAAUACUAUCCAAAGAUGCUUAUGGUCCUCGCGCUUAUGGUUACCCUUUUGCUUAUGUGCCAGCUCGUUCUGCUGCUGCUUAUAAAAACCUUGUCAAUCGCGCUAAGUUGCUGGUCCUAAGGAUCUUUUUGGUCAUGUGCUAAGCGGCAUAGUUGAACUUCUCUAUGUGUAUAUCUGCGCCUGAAGACGCUAUAUGCAACUGCAUCAGCCUUCAUUAGUGAAGCAGAAGAAAACACGCUCUGCUGCAACACAGCAUCAGGUUCACUAUAAAAAAAAAUCAUGUGCAUACUGGUUGUUUAGGUCGUGCACUCAUAGCUACAUUAGUUGUACAUAAGCUAUCUACAGGCAGCUGACUUGUUAUAAUGCAUCUACUAUAAUACUAUCUGCCACUAUCUGCCACA